UGCUGGUCCCAAUUGUUCUAUUGAACCUAUUGAAAAUACAAUGAAGUAAAAGAAUUAUUCUUCACUCACAUCAAAAAAUUAACAAUAAGAUUCGGUUUACAAAAAAGAUAUCUUAAUUUCCGAUUUGUAAGUUUACAUAUCUGUAACAAUACGGUAGCAGCGCCUGUAUAUGCCUUGUAUGUUAUUUCCAAGUCGAAAGAAAUAUUCAUGACUUGAGUAUCCUAUCAUUAAUGCCAAUUGCUGCUUUACUUGAAGUUAUCGAAUUUAUGAAUUAAGAGAUAACUGUAUUGUAUUUGAAGCUUUGAGGACGUCCAUCGGUAGUUUUAUUGUCGCAAAUUUAGUUUACCUGGUGACGCGUAGCGGAGACAGGUAAACGGGUAUUUGCGACAGUAAAACUACCGAUGGACG
rnacentral:lncRNA from 1 species